GACACACUCCUUAAUAGGUAAUAGCUGACAAGCUCCCAGACGGGAGCACGUGAUCAACACGACAUCCAAACAGAUCGUCUGGAAACUGACCUCUAGUCUGUGCCCGCAAGCACAGCCACGUCAGCAUCUCUUGAGGAGUACUUCAGCAGAGUCUAGCUCACUAGCUGAGACUCCACAAGCACUCUACUACGUACACUGCGUGCAACAACUAUCAUUUUUGUGUCGUUACGGCUUAAUACAGGCUGUACCUCCACGUAACACCAGUACUUACAUUUUUCUCAUCUGAUUGUGGCUUACCAAAAUCCUGAACGCAACUGAGAGGGAACUCUUGUUAACAGACACAUCGCAAAGUGAAGAACUACUACGAGUUAAGAAUAAUUUAUUGAAGAAACCUUCUAGCGCCAGUGGCUUAAUACACACCAAAAUGAAAUUCAGUUUUGAUCCUUCUGAAGUAUUGGGAAGGGGAGGUUAUGGAAAAGUGUUUAAAGGGUUCUGGGGAGAUCAGCCAGUGGCCGUGAAACGAAUCGAAUUAACAAGCGACGAACAAGAGGAAAAGAGUUUGCGAGAGCUUGAUCAUGAAAACGUGAUAAAACUUUUCUACGCAGAAAGUGAUGAAAAUUUCAGAUAUUAUGUCCUGGAAUUAUGUGAAGCUUCUUUAGACAAAUUAUUCUUGCCAUAUGGAGAUCCUAAAAUAUACUUAGGGCCCAUCCCUUCGCCAGAGGACGUUCUUAGACAGAUGGCCAUCGGACUGGCAUACAUUCACGAACAGGAGCUUGCUCAUCGUGAUGUGAAACCAGAAAAUGUCCUUAUCUCAUCGACUAAGGAUGUUGUACUGAUGAAAUGGGCUGAUUUCGGGUUAAGUAAAACCAUCAAUAAAAGAGAAGAUGCAACGCGUGGAGUUCAAGGAACUAAGAAAUGGCUUGCACCCGAGUUAUUGGAAUCGUCAAGUGGAACAACACUAUCGAGGUAUCAAAGAAGUACAGUAAAGAGAGAUGUCUUUGCAGAAGGUUCCGUCUUUGCUUACUUCCUUACUGAUGGCGAACAUCCUUUCGGCACUGAACGUUCGGAAAUAUCGGAUAACGUUAAAAAAAUAAUCCAGUUAAUUUGACCAGUAUUCGGUCUUCACAGGCUAAAAAGUUAAUUGGCAAAAUGUUGGCCAGAAAUCCAGAAGACAGAAUAAAUUCGUCCGAUGUUGUUAAAGAACUCGCGGAUAUAAACGACCAGUUAAAAGAAGAUCUCAAAUAUGUAGAUAGCAUGGUGCCAUCAGUUUAUCGAAUCAAAAACGAACUGGGAUCUGGAGGUUUUGGGAGCGUCUGGGAAGGAGUUUGGCGACGUCAGAAAGUGGCCGUUAAAAAAAUGAUAAUUUCUGACUUUACAAAGUUAUGCCGUGAAAGAGAAGAAAGCUUGCUAAAGCUUAAUCAUCCUAAUGUCGUUAA
rnacentral:misc_RNA from 1 species